UGAGGAAUAUUGGUCAAUGGACGGAAGUCUGAACCAGCCAAGUAGCGUGCAGGAUGACGGCCCUAUGGGUUGUAAACUGCUUUUGUAUGGGGAUAAAGUUAGGGACGUGUCCCUAUUUGCAGGUACCAUAUGAAUAAGGACCGGCUAAUUCCGUGCCAGCAGCCGCGGUAAUACGGAAGGUUCAGGCGUUAUCCGGAUUUAUUGGGUUUAAAGGGAGCGUAGGCCGGAGAUUAAGUGUGUUGUGAAAUGUAGACGCUCAACGUCUGACUUGCAGCGCAUACUGGUUUCCUUGAGUACGCACAACGUUGGCGGAAUUCGUCGUGUAGCGGUGAAAUGCUUAGAUAUGACGAAGAACUCCGAUUGCGAAGGCAGCUGACGGGAGCGCAACUGACGCUUAAGCUCGAAGGUGCGGGUAUCAAACAGGAUUAGAUACCCUGGUAGUCCGCACAGUAAACGAUGGAUGCCCGCUGUUGGUACCUGGUAUCAGCGGCUAAGCGAAAGCAUUAAGCAUCCCACCUGGGGAGUACGCCGGCAACGGUG
rnacentral:rRNA from 1 species